CCUACGGGAGGCUGCAGUGGGGAAUAUUGGACAAUGGGCGAAAGCCUGAUCCAGCCAUGCCGCGUGUGUGAAGAAGGCCUUCGGGUUGUAAAGCACUUUCAGUGGGGAAGAAAGCCUUGGGGCUAAUACCCUCGAGGAAGGACAUCACCCACAGAAGAAGCACCGGCUAACUCCGUGCCAGCAGCCGCGGUAAUACGGAGGGUGCGAGCGUUAAUCGGAAUUACUGGGCGUAAAGCGCGCGUAGGCGGUCUGAUAAGCCGGUUGUGAAAGCCCCGGGCUCAACCUGGGAACGGCAUCCGGAACUGUCAGGCUAGAGUGCAGGAGAGGAAGGUAGAAUUCCCGGUGUAGCGGUGAAAUGCGUAGAGAUCGGGAGGAGUACCAGUGGCGAAGGCGGCCUUCUGGACUGACACUGACGCUGAGGUGCGAAAGCGUGGGUAGCAAACAGGAGUAGAUACCCUGGUAGUC
rnacentral:rRNA from 1 species